UGGAGCAUGUGGUUUAAUUCGAUGAUACGCGAGGAACCUUACCUGGGCUCAAAUGUAUGUUGACGUAUUCUGAAAGGGAUACUUCUUCGGACAAUAUACAAGGUGCUGCAUGGUUGUCGUCAGCUCGUGCCGUGAGGUGUCGGGUUAAGUCCCAUAACGAGCGCAACCCCUAUCAUUAGUUGCCAUCAGGUCAAGCUGGGGACUCUAAUGAAACUGCCUACGCAAGUAGUGAGGAAGGUGGGGAUGACGUCAAAUCAGCACGGCCCUUACGUCCAGGGCUACACACGUGCUACAAUGGCCGAUACAGAGGGCAGCUACCUGGUGACAGGAUGCAAAUCUCCAAAGUCGGUCUCAGUUCGGAUCGGAGUCUGCAACCCGACUCCGUGAAGUUGGAUUCGCUAGUAAUCGCGCAUCAGCCAUGGCGCGGUGAAUACGUUCCCGGGCCUU
rnacentral:rRNA from 1 species